rnacentral:rRNA from 1 species
GACGAACGCUGGCGGCGUGCUUAACACAUGCAAGUCGAACGAGUGGCGGAUGGGCGAGUAACACGUGGGAACCUGCCUUUCACAGGGGAAUAACACUGGGAAACCAGUGCUAAUACCGCAUAGUGAAAGAUGGCCUCGCGCCGGAUUAGCUAGUAGGUGGGGUAAAGGCUCACCUAGGCGACGUUCUCUAGCUGGUCUGAGAGGAUGAUCAGCCACACUGGGACUGGGAAACGGCCCAGACUCCUACGGGAGGCAGCAGUGGGGAAUAUUGCACAAUGGGCGCAAGCCUGAUGCAGCCAUGCCGCGUGUAUGAAGAAGGCCUUAGGGUUGUAAAGUACUUUCAGCGGGGAGGCGUUAACCGCAGAAGAAGCACCGGCUAACUCCGUGCCAGCAGCCGCGGUAAUAC